rnacentral:rRNA from 1 species
UACAGAGGUCCCGAGCGUUGUUCGGAUUUACUGGGCGUAAAGGGAGCGUAGGUGGUCGGGUAAGCCCCGCGGGAAAGCUCCAGGCUUAACCUGGAAAGGUCGCGGGGGACUGCGCGGCUAGAGGACGGGAGAGGAGCGCGGAAUUCCAGGUGUAGCGGUGAAAUGCGUAGAUAUCUGGAGGAACACCGGUGGCGAAGGCGGCAUCCUGGACCGGCAUUGACGCUGAGGCGCGAAAGCCAGGGGAGCAAACGGG